GGGAUGUGUGCAUAUGAUCAUCCACUCUCAGGCCACCGUCUUCUCCUAGAUCAAACUAAACAAUGUUCCUCAUAAGCAUAAAUGGGUCCCAGGAGUGAGAAAUGCUUUAUCUGGUAAUAGUGUAAUCGAUGAUGGAUGGAUGGUACACAGCUACCAUACUGAGAAUAGUUGACUUCUUUGGUAACAGACAUUUUAUGUAUUCAAAUAUUACAGAAGGAAUAAGAUCAAAUGUUGUGAGAAUUUGAACAUCUUUACGAUACAGGAUUCUUCCUCUUCUAGUUCCUUAGUUGAUACUGUCUGCAGUCACUCAGCACUUAAAACUUGCAGGAUGAGAGCCACAGCAGCAAAGUGAUUAAGAGCACAAAUGCUAAAGGAACUGGUUUUAGCAGUUUACUAACUGGGAAUGAUGGACAAGUUGUUUAUCCUCUUGUACCUCACAUUCAACUAUAAAUGGAAUUAAGAAGUGACUAAAUCUCGCCCUAGCUGGUUUUGCUCAGUGGAUAGAGCGUCGGCCUUCGGACUGAAGGGUCCCAGGUUCAAAUCUGGUCAAGGGCACAUGCCUGGGCUGCUGGCUCAAUCCCCAGUGGGGGUAAUGCAAGAGGCAGCCAAUCAAUGAUUCUCUCUCAUCAUUGAUGUUUCUAUCUCUCCCUCUCCCUUCCUCUCUGAAAUCAAUAAAAAUAUUUUUUAAAAAAAGAAGUGACUAAAUCUCAAGGUUUCUGUAAGCAUUAAGUAAGAUGAUGUAGAUAAGGCUGUUAGGAGUAGCAAACACAUAAUAAUGUCUACCAUUUAUUUAAAAAAAUGUUAUUACCAUUAUAAGGCAGCUAAUUACUACCACCACCCUCCCUAAAAAGACCACAGUGUACUUGGAGAAAAGCCAGUGGUUCACUCUUAGGAGAUGUUCAAAAGUACAGAAUAGUACCACUGCUUCAGGAUGAUGUCUGAAUAGCUCAAUUCCUUUGCCUACUAUAUCAAGUUACCAUUUCU